rnacentral:rRNA from 1 species
GCUCAACCGGGGAGGGUCAUUGGAAACUGGGGAACUUGAGUGCAGAAGAGGAGAGUGGAAUUCCACGUGUAGCGGUGAAAUGCGUAGAGAUGUGGAGGAACACCAGUGGCGAAGGCGACUCUCUGGUCUGUAACUGACGCUGAGGCGCGAAAGCGUGGGGAGCGAACAGGAUUAGAUACCCUGGUAGUCCACGCCGCAAACGAUGAGUGCUAAGUGUUAGAGGGUUUCCGCCCUUUAGUGCUGCAGCAAACGCAUUAAGCACUCCGCCUGGGGAGUACGGUCGCAAGACUGAAACUCAAAGGAAUUGACGGGGGCCCGCACAAGCGGUGGAGCAUGUGGUUUAAUUCGAAGCAACGCGAAGAACCUUACCAGGUCUUGACAUCCUCUGACAACCCUAGAGAUAGGGCUUCCCCUUCGGGGGCAGAGUGACAGGUGGUGCAUGGUUGUCGUCAGCUCGUGUCGUGAGAUGUUGGGUUAAGUCCCGCAACGAGCGCAACCCUUGAUCUUAGUUGCCAGCAUUCAGUUGGGCACUCUAAGGUGACUGCCGGUGACAAACCGGAGGAAGGUGGGGAUGACGUCAAAUCAUCAUGCCCCUUAUGACCUGGGCUACACACGUGCUACAAUGGGCAGAACAAAG